UGUUAAAAAUUCUAUCCAUUUGUAUUGCUAAAAACUAACAUGGAUGAUGAGAUACCCGAACAGUUAUAUAUUUUAUGUUGAUGUAAAUGGAUUGAUUUUUAACAACAAAAAUUGAUGGAUUUUUAAACA
rfam:Gossypium hirsutum cultivar TM-1 unplaced genomic scaffold scaffold1051.1, whole genome shotgun sequence